rnacentral:rRNA from 1 species
CAGCUAGUUGGUGGGGUAAAAGCCUACCAAGGCGAAGAUCGGUAGCCGGCCUGAGAGGGCACACGGCCACACUGGCACUGAAACACGGGCCAGACUCCUACGGGAGGCAGCAGUGGGGAAUCUUGCACAAUGGGGGAAACCCUGAUGCAGCGACGCCGCGUGAGCGAUGAAGCCCUUCGGGGUGUAAAGCUCUUUCGUCAGGGAAGAUCAUGACGGUACCUGGAGAAGCAGCUGCGGCUAACUACGUGCCAGCAGCCGCGGUAAUACGUAGGCAGCAAGCGUUGUUCGGAGUUACUGGGCGUAAAGGGUGUGUAGGCGGUUGUUUAAGUUUGGUGUGAAAUCUCCCGGCUCAACUGGGAGGGUGCGCCGAAUACUGAAUGACUUGGAGUGCGGGAGAGGAAAGUGGAAUUCCUGGUGUAGCGGUGAAGUGCGUAGAUAUCAGGAGGAACACCGGUGGUGUAGACGGCUUUCUGGACCGUAACUGACGCUGAGACACGAAAGCGUGGGUAGCAAACAGGAUUAGAUACCCUGGUAGUCCACGCCCUA